rnacentral:lncRNA from 1 species
GCACCCAGGUGAUUAAAAGCUUUAUUGCUCACACAAAGCCUGUUUGGUGGUCUCUUCACACGGACACACAUGAAAUUUGGUGCCGUGACUCGGAUCGGGGGUCCUCCCUUGGGAGAUCAAUCCCCUGUCCUCCUGUUCUUUGCUCCGUGAGAAAGAUCCACCUACGACCUCAGGUCCUCAGACCGACCAGCCCAACGAACAUCUCACCAAUUUUAAAUCAGGACCUACCAGUCUGCCCUGCUCAUACUUGAUCUGGAUGAGACUGAUACCCUGCGAGACGCAACAGAAUCAGCUCCUGGGAUUGUGUUAGCAGAAUGACGGGAGUGUGAGAUCCACCACAUGGCGAGGCACCCCAGGAACCUGUUUUCUUCUUGAAGAGCAACCGAGAACUAUUUCCAAGUUAUCCUUCACUUUGAGCCAGGCAAUGGUCAGGUGGAGUAAAACAUAAGGAAGAACAUCUUUUUGGUUCAAAGCAUGAAAAAAAUUGGGUAACACACCUUCCUUACAUCUAGCUGGGCCAUUGAACCAGAAUAUGCCAAUGUUUAAAACACUGAAAUGCCAGCUUUUCUCUUAA